rnacentral:rRNA from 1 species
GACGAACGCUGGCGGCGUGCUUAACACAUGCAAGUCGAACGGAAAGGCCCUGCUUUUGUGGGGUGCUCGAGUGGCGAACGGGUGAGUAACACGUGAGUAACCUGCCCUUGACUUUGGGAUAACUUCAGGAAACUGGGGCUAAUACCGGAUAGGAGCUCCUGCUGCAUGGUGGGGGUUGGAAAGUGUCGGCGGUUGGGGAUGGACUGGCGGCUUAUCAGCUUGUUGGUGGGGUAGUGGCUUACCAAGGCUUUGACGGGUAGCCGGCCUGAGAGGGUGACCGGCCACAUUGGGACUGAGAGACGGACCAGAAUCCUACGGGAGGCAGCAGUGGGGAAUACUGCACAAUGGGCGGAAGCCUGAUGCAGCAACGCCGCGUGCGGGAUGACGGCUUUUGGGUUGUAAACCGCUUUCGCCUGUGACGAAGCGUGAGUGACGGUAAUGGGUAAAGAAGCACCGGCUAACUACGUG